rnacentral:tRNA from 1 species
GGAUCACCUCCUAACAGGGAGACAACAAAAUGUUUAAUAUUAUUAUUUUGUCACCUUAGGUCGAUCGGUAUCUCACGUUCUUAAUUUUAUUAAGAAUUUCAUUUCCUAAGUUUUUCUAGGUCACACCCAUUAUUUUCCUGGGCCAUUAGCUCAGGUGGUUAGAGCGCACCCCUGAUAAGGGUGAGGUCCCUGGUUCAAGUCCAGGAUGGCCCAUAUCUCUAUGUUGGGGGUAUAGCUCAGUUGGUAGGGCGCCUGCUUUGCAAGCAGGAUGUCAGCGGUUCGAGUCCGCUUACCUCCACUGAUUACCACCUCUUCCAUAAACUUUAGAAAGGAAGAUUUUGAGUUGUGACACAAUUCUGAACGAAUCUAGCUUCCUAAUGAAAUCAUUAAGAUGCUGGACUCAUUGAAUUAAUUUCAUUGUUUUCAGAGAACCUUGACAACUGCAUAGAUUAUUUUUAAAGACAAUAAGCAUCUUUAAUGAUGCAGAUUUAUUAUUUGUGCGAAUGCAUUAAUAACAGUUCUAUUAAGCUGAUGCUUCAAUUAUGAAGUUAUUGGUCAAGCUACAAAGGGCUCACGGAGGAUACCUAGGCACACAGAGGCGAUGAAGG